AGAUAAAUGUAUAUCUGGUCU
rnacentral:miRNA from 1 species